AGCUUUACGCAGUGGCAGUAUCGUAGCCAAUGAGGUUUAUCCGAGGCGUGAUUAUUGCUAAUAGAAUUGUGUCCAGUCUCCUUGGCAUGAGGUACCAAGUCUCCACUAACCUCUUGCCUGCCUACCUCUAUGGCAGCUGCUCUGCAC